rnacentral:tRNA from 1 species
GGGGGUNUGGCUCAGUUUGUAGAGCGCUUGCCUAGCAUGCANGAAGCCCUGGGUUCUAUCCCCAGCUUCA